AUGGCUCUACUUGCUUCUGCCCUGACUCCCACCACUCACCUUGGCCUUAGGAGCCAUGUAGGACCAAAUCGUGAGAUUUUAUGGCUCCGAUCUGCUGCUUCAUCACAAAAGAGCAAGGGAAGGUGUAACAUUACCGUUAGGUUACAAAGAGAAUCACAACCAGCGGAACCUAUUGGGCAUGUAACUACUAAGCUCAAGCCCUGGCAAAUCCCUAGAAGGGACUGGUUCUCCCCCGAGUUCAUCUUUGGUGCGUCCACUUCAGCGUACCAGGUUGAAGGUGCUUGGAAUGAAGAUGGCAAGGGGGAAAGCACUUGGGACCACUUCUGCCACAAUUAUCCUGAGCGCAUAUCUGACGUGACCAAUGGGGAUGUCGCAGCGGACUCCUACCAUAUGUAUGAAGAGGAUGUCAAAGCGCUGAAGGACAUGGGCAUGGAUGCGUAUAGGUUCUCCAUCUCUUGGUCGAGAAUACUGCCAAAUGGGACGGGAACCCCAAACCGGAAAGGCAUUCAUUACUACAAUAAGCUGAUCAACUCGUUGAUACGUCAUGGCAUAGUGCCAUAUGUUACAAUUUGGCAUUGGGACACCCCUCAAGCACUGGAAGACAAGUACGGCGGCUUCUUAGAUCCGAGGAUUAUAAAUGACUACAAACACUUCGCCGAGGUGUGCUUUCAGAGCUUCGGCGACAGGGUGAAGCACUGGUUCACCUUUAACGAGCCACACACAUAUUGUUGUUUCUCCUAUGGAGAGGGGAUUCAUGCUCCUGGGAGGUGCUCGCCUGGGAUGGAUUGUGCCAUCCCAGAAGGAGACUCGCUCAAAGAGCCAUACAUUGCUGGACACCACAUCCUCCUAGCUCAUGCCGAGGCUGUUGAGCUGUUCAAAACACAUUACAACCAGUGUGAGGAUGGCAAAAUAGGGAUGGCUUUUGACGUAAUGGGUUACGAGCCAUACCAAGACUCGUUCCUCGAUGAACAGGCCCGGCAAAGAUCCAUCGACUACAACCUCGGAUGGUUCGUAGAGCCAGUGGUUCGUGGUGACUACCCCUUCUCCAUGAGAUCACUUAUCGGAGAUCGUCUACCCAUGUUCACUGAGCUUGAGCAAGCCAAGCUAGCGUCCUCCUGUGACAUCAUGGGUCUCAACUACUACACCUCCAGGUUCUCCAAGCACAUUGACAUGUCAUCAAACGUUACGCCAAAGCUGAACAUCGACGACGCUUACUCUAGUUCCGAAAUUGUAGGGUGUGACGGGAAUACCAUCGGGCCUAAAACUGGAACUUUUUGGAUUUACAUGUACCCAAAAGGCCUAAGGGACCUCCUUCUGAUCAUGAAGGAGAAAUACGGAAACCCACCCAUCUUCAUCACUGAGAACGGAAUGGCUGACGUGGACGGCGAUGAAACCAUGUCAGAUCCCCUGGAUGACUGGAAAAGGCUAGACUACCUCCAGCGCCACAUCUCAGCCGUCAAGGACGCAAUAGACCAAGGCGUGGACGUGCGGGGCCACUUCACGUGGGGUCUCGUUGACAACUUUGAGUGGGGCCAAGGCUACAGCUCACGUUUCGGCCUCGUCUACAUCGACAAAAAUGACGGCCUCAAGCGCAAGCUCAAGAAGUCAGCCAAGUGGUUUGGAAAGUUCAACGCCGUCCCAAAACGCUUGAUUGGUAUUACCAAACCAACUGGGCAAGCUCCCGUGUGA
rnacentral:rRNA from 1 species